rnacentral:rRNA from 1 species
GAAGGUUGAACCGGUCGAAGAUACCAGCUGGCUGCAACUGUUUAUUAAAAACACAGCACUCUGCAAACACGAAAGUGGACGUAUAGGGUGUGAUGCCUGCCCGGUGCUGGAAGGUUAAUUGAUGGUGUAAUCGAAAGAGAAGCUCCUGAUCGAAGCCCCAGUAAACGGCGGCCGUAACUAUAACGGUCCUAAGGUAGCGAAAUUCCUUGUCGGGUAAGUUCCGACCUGCACGAAUGGCAUAAUGAUGGCCAGGCUGUCUCCACCCGAGACUCAGUGAAAUUGAAAUCGCCGUGAAGAUGCGGUGUACCCGCGGCUAGACGGAAAGACCCCGUGAACCUUUACUAUAGCUUGACACUGAACAUUGAAUUUUGAUGUGUAGGAUAGGUGGGAGACUUUGAAGUAGUCACGCCAGUGAUUAUGGAGUCGUCCUUGAAAUACCACCCUUUAACGUUUGAUGUUCUAACGAAGAUUACGAAACGUGGUCUCGGACAGUGUCUGGUGGGUAGUUUGACUGGGGCGGUCUCCUCCCAAAGAGUAACGGAGGAGCACGAAGGUUUGCUAAUGACGGUCGGACAUCGUCAGGUUAGUGCAAUGGUAUAAGCAAGCUUAACUGCGAGACAGACAAGUCGAGCAGGUACGAAAGUAGGUCAUAGUGAUCCGGUGGUUCUGAAUGGAAGGGCCAUCGCUCAACGGAUAAAAGGUACUCCGGGGAUAACAGGCUGAUACCGCCCAAGAGUUCAUAUCGACGGCGGUGUUUGGCACCUCGAUGUCGGCUCAUCACAUCCUGGGGCUGAAGUAGGUCCCAAGGGUAUGGCUGUUCGCCAUUUAAAGUGGUACGCGAGCUGGGUUUAGAACGUCGUGAGACAGUUCGGUCCCUAUCUGCCGUGGGCGUUGGAGAAUUGAUUGGGGCUGCUCCUAGUACGAGAGGACCGGAGUGGACGCACCACUGGUGUUCCGGUUGUGUCGCCAGACGCAUUGCCGGGUAGCUAAGUGCGGAAGAGAUAAGUGCUGAAAGCAUCUAAGCACGAAACUUGCCAAGAGAUGAGUUCUCCCUGU